AAUCAACGCUGGCGGCGUGCCUCAGACAUGCAAGUCGAACGGUUAAAGCUCCCUUCGGGGAGUGUAUAAAGUGGCGCACGGGUGAGUAACACGUAAGUAAUCUACCUUCGAGUGGGGAAUAACAACCGGAAACGGUUGCUAAUACCGCAUAAUGCAGCGGCAUCACAAGAUGACAGUUGUUAAAGGAGCAAUCCGCUUGAAGAGGAGCUUGCGGCAGAUUAGCUAGUUGGUAGGGUAACGGCCUACCAAGGCGACGAUCUGUAACCGGUCUAAGAGG
rnacentral:rRNA from 1 species